rnacentral:misc_RNA from 1 species
CUAAACAUUUAUUGACUAUGGGGUUUGCACUUCACGAAGUUCAUCCUCUUCUCAAUCAUAUAUGAUUAAGAAAUAUAACAAACAUCAUCUUUUGACAUAACUAACUAAAGAUAAUGGUAUGUAGAAGUGCAGGGCUUACACUCCUCAAAGGCAAUGGACAAAUUCAAGAUAACACGGAUGGUUCUGCAAAACUCGGGCCUGGAUAUAAUCACAGUUGAUUCCCUAAUCCAAAUGUUUCUACCAAGUCCUAAAUCAUUCCAGAUAAGAGUGAAUUUCUGCACGUCUCUAUCCAAACAUGUCCAUAUCACCCUUAAAAGCUUGAAAGCUUAUGAGUUUACUACCGCCCCCAACCUGGCCAAGGCCAACAUGGGUAGAGCUGCUGCGCGACAACUUUUCAUACUAAUUAAACAAAGGAAGACCAUUGCCAUAACCCCUUGAGCUUUUGCAAUUAACAUCUAGAUUAGAAUUAUCCUGACAAAGCCUCUGGGGAUCAGAGUUGCAGAUGGAUUGUCAAACAAUACGUAAACAUCAUCUAUGCAAUUAUCCAUUCUCCUACAACAUUGUUACAACAUCCAUUCUCUCUAUAGUGUGUAUAAACAGAUUCUAUAUAU